GACAGAGGGUGCAAACGUUGCUCGGAAUUACUGGGCGUAAAGCGUGCGCAGGCGGUUGUGCAAGACAGAUGUGAAAUCCCCAGGCUUAACCUGGGAACUGCAUCCGAUACUGGAUGGCUUGAAUCCGGGAGAGGGAUGCAGAAUUCCAGGUGUAGCGGUGAAAUGCGUAGAUAUCUGGAGGAAUACCGGUGGCGAAGGCGGCAUCCUGGACCGGCAUUGACGCUGAGGAGCGAAAGCUAGGGAGCAAACGGG
rnacentral:rRNA from 1 species